GCUGGCUCUUCUGAAAGGAGGGGACAAAUGACAGUCUAUCAAACAGCAUGCUUUCAAAGAAAGAGGAGACCUGUUCCAGAACUGCAGCUUCAGAGGCUCUUUUAACAACAUAAGCAAAACUGGGAGCCAACCUCAUUUUUUCCCCCUGGCUGUAAUGAACACACAGCUUAGCUACAGCAGUCUCCCACCCCCAGUAAAAUGAACUGGAAUUACAAAGCUUAUGAAGAAAACAAGUGUCAUUUUUUUCCCUCUAUCUUUUUCCUUUCUUUUUAAUUGUUUUUUUUUUCUUUCUUUCCUAUUUCUUUCUCUUUUUUUGGAUCGAAAGUAAGACCAAAAAAUGUCAAAAGGGAAAGGAGAGGGGUUCUGAGAUCAGUCUCAAAUCUCAGAAGAAGACUGCGGGAAAUGGUGCCAAAUUGAAGUGUUUAUCCAUGGAGAGAGAAAGGGGAGAUCUGCCUUUUGAAGCAGAAAAAGCAACUGCUGCAAACCUGCAGUGUGUUUAAUGGAAGAGGACGUCUGGUUUCCAUGUAACGCUAAUAAAGUAUUCAGUACACUGGCAGGAGGAGCCUGGAAUGGAUGUGGGUGGUGAGGGUUGUGGGAAGCAGAGAGGAGACAGAGGGGUGUUAGAGGAUGGCCAGCUUGUGAUAGCAGGGAAAUCAAAGCCUUGUAAAGAGGAAAAUAUUUUAAAUGUUAUUUCAGUGUUUCAUCAAAAAAGAUUUUGCAAAGCUAUUUGUGACUGACUCUUUGGAGAUCUUGGUAUAAGGUUAUACUUAUACAUGUUUAAAGCAAUUCCAAGAUUUAUCCAUUUAGAAGAAAAAGUGUAAAACUUAAAAAAAAAAUGAAAAAGAAAAAAUGUAUUUUCUCCUUGUCUUCAUAAAAGAAGGCAGAAGAAAAAAAAAAACAAAAAACAGAGCAAGCAAAUAACCUUUUUUUUUUUUUUUUUCCUCCCUGAAAAUAACCCUAGAAACACCCAGCACAGCAUAAAAAAUCAUCAAAUGCUUUUGAACUAAAAGCCAUUCUUUUCUUGGGAAAACAUGUAUAGACAAAAAUACCCAAGCUGCCAAACUGAUAAAUACAAUUGACCUGCUGUGAUGUUAACUUAGAGCUCAUCGAUUUCAUUUCUGAUGUGCCACAGGAACAUUCAUUUGCACUGAGUGCUAGCUAAGACCUUUUCAUUAGUGCUGCAGCAGCUGGAUUGUAGAUUUGGUCAAUGCGGAUGGGUAUGGAAUGACUUGGGCUCUUCUACCCCAGCUUUUGUCUGGCCAGAUGUGAGCUUAUGACAAUAGGCUGUUCCUGUGAAAGGCCAGGCAUGGUAGCCCAGGUGCAGUGCUGGAGUAGAGCUGGGGUCAAGCUUUGUGUUAUGAUUGGAUACUGAAAAAAAAGAAAUAGGUAAUUUGAGUUAAACCUGGUUAUUUACUCAAAACAAGCUCUCAUAAAGCCAUUUUCGAGAUUGUAUCAGAGCAUCUUCCAGUAAUGAAUUAUUCAGUUUAAUCAAUUUUUCACUCUCUCCUGCAUGAUUAGGAAACUGGGAUCUGGGACACAAAAUUGAGAGUGAUCCAUGGAGCAUCUCUAACUUUGAUAAGACCAGCCCUACUGGGAAUUUUCUUCAUUUAAAAACUGGGAGAUAAAGGGAUUGAGGCCGAUGCUGCUGUAGCUGAAAAGGGCGUCUCAUUCCAUACAGUUCAUAGAGACGCUGAGUCCAUUCCAUCCAUUCCAUAUGUCCUACAUCUCUGUGCUGGCAGUGAGAUAGUGAGGUCUGGGAAUGGGGAAUACUGGGAAUACUACUCUUCUCUUCUCUUCUCUUCUCUUCUCUUCUCUUCUCUUCUCUUCUCUUCUCUUCUCUUCUCUUCUCUUCUCUUCUCUUCUCUUCUCUUCUCUUCUCUUCUCUUCUCUUCUCUUCUCUUCUCUUCUCUUCUCUUCUCUUCUCUUCUCUUCUCUUCUCUUCUCUUCUCUUCUCUUCUCUUCUCUUCUCUUCUCUUCUCUCUUCUUUUACUUUAUUUUCUUUCUCCUCCCCAGAUAAAAUUGUCUACCUGCAAAAUGAAUCAUCUGAAUUUAGGUUUUCCUUUAAAGUUUUAUGGGCUGCAUAUUUGCUCCCCAUCCUUUCUUUAAUUUUGCUAGUGAGGAGCCUGUCUGUACCAUGCAACUCACAACUGCCUGGGAGACCUGUGACAAGUAAAUUUCAGUCUCUCAGUAGAGCUGGUAUUCUUAGAGCUGCAGGAGCAGUCAUCAUGAAGGGGAAAGCUGUGAACGCCAAUAAAUUAUUGAAGAAAGCAGGAGAAAUAUUUCCUUCUGUUGACACAUUGGCAUUCACCUUUGGGAAUGUAAUCAUGGGAAAGGUAGGCAAUCUUUUGUCAUAGAGAUCUUUUGCUCGGAGAAUUCAGUCUUUUUAAAACCUUAGGAGGGAGCCUGCAAGCCCUCAACAUGGAAGGGGUAUUCAAGUUAUAGGAUGUCUUCAGGCAGACAAGUUUCUCAGAAAUGACAGUGAAACUGAAUUAAGUCUGCAACACAUUAAAAUUACUUGGUGAUAAAAAGGGAGGUUAGUGAGGUAGAGAGUAAACCCCUCCAGCUCCCUGACACCCCGGGACAGUUUCCAAUCAGGAGGGGGAUUGUUUUCUACGAACAAAACAAGACAGCAUUAGUACAAGACAGAGCAUAAACAUGGCAAAAUUUAGAGUUCAGAGAAGAACAGAAGAUGGAAGCCAACCUCUUGGUGUAAGGCAGAGGAAACAGCAAGGACAUGCCUACAAGAUCAACAUUUCCUUUUGGGUUGUGACAUGGGGGAAGGACUGGGGCAGUUCUUGAGAGCUGGGGUGGUGCAGGAGUGGUUUCUUCUAGCCUGAAAAUCUGAUUCUACCUCUUUCUUCCAUCACUGAAACAAAGGAACCUACCCAGGCCUGUGAACAUAGAUUUGUCUGUCUGAAUUUCAAAUUUUGCUUGGAAAGCCAUCAAAUUAGCACUGAUGUUUUAUUCCAACAUCAGAAACGGCAGGGAAAAAUACCCAGGAGCUCGUUGGAUUUAAAUCCACAGAAUCAUCUCCAGUUUUGUUUAGACGAGAUGAGUGAAUAACCCCCCUUCUCAGCAUCAUAUUUGGCUCAAAUCACCAAUUUACUGGUUUACAAAAAUCUAAAACUGCCCCUCCGGCAAAUUAAGGGAUUACGUCAAUCACUCAAGUCCAUUCUACCUGACAACAGCACGCAGCAACAGGGCAAAAGGUUUGAUGCUCUGCUGGAAUGUGAUAAGGAGAAAAUGCCAAAUGACACAUAGGCAAAGUUAUUACCAGCGAGAUGAAGACAAACUGGAGGGAGUUCAGAGAAGUGCAACAAAAAUGAUUAGAGAGCUGGAGGGGUUGAUUUAGAAGGAAAGUUUACAAGAACAACUGGCAAUAUGCACAGCAGGGCUGAGCAACAUCUGAGGGGGGAGAGAGAGCCAGUUGCAAACAUCUGAACAGUGCAAACACCCAGGGAGGAACACAAUUACCCAAGGGGGAAAUAACUAAGAUAAUAGGUUGAAAUUAGGAGAAAGAGAUAAACAUCAAAAUAACUUCUCAGUGAAAAGACUGUGGAAUAACCUACUAUGGGAAGACAUGGAAGUCCAAGCCAAGCAGGCUAUAAAUUCCUUCCCACAGCCCCUGCAGAUACAAAAGUCAGCCACAGAUAACUUUGAAAACAAUUUCUAAGCAACAAAUGUCAGAACUUCUGCAAGAAACCAGGUGUGAGAAGGUGUUUAGAACUGAUGAUUUCCAGAUAACUCUACUAGUUUUCUUGCUGUUCAAAUGCACAAUGGGGAGGAGUUUGAAAAGGCUCUUGCUUUCUGUUUCCUGGGUGAAAUGACUGCACUGGAAACCUCCAAAAGUGCAGUUGUGGCAAUCAAGACAUUGCCCACUCAUCGACAAAUAGUUUUCCAGUUGAGAUAGUUGGUUUAAAUCUCCCUCAGGUUUGGAGUGACUGGAAAUCAACACCAGAUAAUGGCUGUUUGGUAGUAGAUGUGACAUGAGUUAAUGCACUCACUUGAAUUUCUAGUGGAUAUUGGACAUGUGCUCACAUUACAAAUGCUUUGAACAGCAUGAUCAGCAUUAAAUUAACAUCUACACUGACAAUCUUGCCAAAGAAAUCCAGAAGGAGAUGGACAUUAGUAAUGAACUGCACGUUCACCUUUGGAGUGAAGUCAUUAGCAAGGUAAACUUUACCUCAUGGGCUCUGAACCUCGUCUCCUCUACUGUAUUUCCUAACUCCUGGAUGGGAUGUCAAUUUGCAAAGCAGAUUAUUUAGCAUAUUUCCUCAGCAUACAAGAAACUGCUACCAUUAAAGAAAAUUUACAUUACAGAACGGUUGUUUAUUAGACAUUAUCAUUAAUUAAUAAGUAUUUUUAGCUGCUUCUUGACAAGGAAGGUGCAUGGCAUGCAUGUGACACAAUUCAUCUGGUUUUAUAGAAGGUAGUAAUAGCUGCAAUGAGUAUAGAAGUAGCACAGGACUCUCUUGCAGAGUGGUAUUUGAAGGUCUGGCUAAGCAAAGCCACUUAGGCCAUUUCUAGUUUAUUGUUGUUACACUUUGGUAUGGCUUUCUAGUAAUUUAUAGGGGUGUUUGUUGAGUUCAUGAGCUCUUGAGACCUGCAUCCAAUAAAAUAGUGAUGUACUUUCUCUUGACUGAAGGCAGAAGCAUAUAUCAUUGCAUGCAGUGGGUCUGAUAUCAUUUUAUGCUGGAUGGGGAAAAAGGCUGUGAAGCUCUGUAGCUUAGUAAAAGAAAAGGAAAAGUAAAGAAAAAUGGCAAUAAAGGACAUCACUUUGUGCAGGGCACUAUUUUGUUUCUAGAUUCUUUAGCUUCAUACAUUAGCAAGCCGGGAAUUUGGUGGGUUAAUCCUACCCUUGACUGUAAGAUCCCAUAUUAGUUAACGAUCUCUUUCUGAACUUGAUAUAAAGCCACAUAAGUUAAUGAGCAGCUAUUAGACAAAUCAUUAUUUAUAUACUUAUAUAUAUUCCCAUAAUUUUUCAUCUGUAUUUUAACUUUGCCAUGACAUAGGGUGCUAAUCCUUCAUGCUCUUGCAGUGUUAACAACAAUAUCUUUUCCCAUUUAAUUAAUAUUUUUAAAAGUUGCCUCAUCCUCCACCAUUAACAUCUUCCCCUCUAUCAAACAAUAAGUGAUAUGGAUCAGUCUUAGUCGAUUAGCUGUAAAGAAGAGGAAAAAUCACUAAGGCAGCAAGGCUUAUUCUUAAAGUAACUUCUCUCUUUCCACCUACUUGUCUAUUCUUAGACUACUGUAAACAUAAAAUGGUCAGGCAGCACAUAGAACAGUCCUAUCAUGUAGGAAAAAAAAAAAAAAUUGGUUCCUAGUGUGACUGUGCACCUUUGCAUAAAAUAAAUAAAUAAAAAUCUCUGUCAUGGAAAAGACAAAGGUAGCAUUGCUUUUACUGGUUUUCUCAGAAAUCUAACUUCCCUUCCCUUCCCUUCCCUUCCCUUCCCUUCCCUUCCCUUCCCUUCCCUUCCCUUCCCUUCCCUUCCC
ensembl:lncRNA